rnacentral:rRNA from 1 species
AGUCGAGGGGUAGAAGGCUUCGGCCUUUGAGACCGGCGCACGGGUGCGUAACGCGUAUGCAAUCUGCCCUCUGCAGGGGGAUAGCCCGGAGAAAUCCGGAUUAAUACCCCAUAGCAUAUAGAAGUGGCCUCACUUCUAUAUUAAAGAUUUAUCGGCAGAGGAUGAGCAUGCGUCCCAUUAGCUAGUUGGUAUGGUAACGGCAUACCAAGGCAAUGAUGGGUAGGGGUCCUGAGAGGGAGAUCCCCCACACUGGUACUGAGACACGGACCAGACUCCUACGGGAGGCAGCAGUGAGGAAUAUUGGUCAAUGGUCGCAAGACUGAACCAGCCAUGCCGCGUGCAGGAUGACGGUCCUAUGGAUUGUAAACUGCUUUUGUACGGGAAGAAACCCCCUUACGUGUAAGGGGCUGACGGUACCGUAAGAAUAAGGAUCGGCUAACUCCGUGCCAGCAGCCGCGGUAAUACGGAGGAUCCAAGCGUUAUCCGGAAUCAUUGGGUUUAAAGGGUCCGUAGGCGGCUGUAUAAGUCAGUGGUGAAAUCCGGCAGCUCAACUGCCGAACUGCCAUUGAUACUGUACAGCUUGAAUUAUUGUGAAGUAACUAGAAUAUGUAGUGUAGCGGUGAAAUGCUUAGAUAUUACAUGGAAUACCAAUUGCGAAGGCAGGUUACUAACAAUACAUUGACGCUGAUGGACGAAAGCGUGGGUAGCGAACAGGAUUAGAUACCCUGGUAGUCCACGCCGUAAACGAUGGAUACUAGCUGUUCGGUAGCAAUACUGAGUGGCUAAGCGAAAGUGAUAAGUAUCCCACCUGGGGAGUACGAACGCAAGUUUGAAACUCA